rnacentral:rRNA from 1 species
CGGCAACAGCUCAGAUUUGAAACCUGGCCCCAGGCCCGGAUUGUAGUCUGUAGAAGGUGCCUCGGGUGCGAUACCGGUCCAAGUUCCUUGGAAUGGGGCGUCACAGAGGGUGAGAAUCCCGUACGUGGCCGGCCGUCAAACCCGUGUGAGGCCCUUUCGAC